UACCGCAAUCUAAUGCGUCUGUAAUUGCUCGAGCACCGGUAUCUCCCCCAGCGGUCCCACUUGCUCCCGCGAUUUAAUUACUAUGUAAAUGUCGCAUUCCCUAACCUGUCCGUUUUCCUGCCUGCCUGCCUGCCUGCCUGCCUGCCCUCUCCCUGUCCCUGGGAUCCUCGUCGUCCUCUGCUGUCGUCCUCCGCCGUCGCCACCGCCGCCGCUACCGUUGCCGCCCGAUGUCCUUAAUUACUUUAUACGUUAUUAUAGCCCACCAACUACUACGCCGACCGUACUCACUCCAUCCGGCACCCGGGCAGGAAUUCCACUCCAUUUCGUUUCAGCCAUAUUGCCGCCGGGUUAAAGCGGACUGGCUGGGAUACAUUCUGCUCGCUGAUUAUCCCGAGCGAAUCUCGCCCAUGGCACUUAUGGCCUUGUUAAGAUAGUAAAAUAAAAGAAAUAACUGAAGGAUGCUAUUGCGAGGGAGUUUUAAUGGCCGCGUAUAGGGAGCCCAUUUAAGUUGCUUGCUUCCGAUAAUGUGGCGGCCGAGAGGGUCGUGGGAGGAUGGCUCUGGUCAGUUUGUCAGCCACCGAUGUACCUAAGAGGGUCCUUUUCCUCCUGCGUCGAUUUGUCUUCCACCGCAAUGGAUAAACUUCACGCAAUCUGCCAACGGUAUUUCUCAGAGGCAGACGCGAUCUGACGCGAGCACGUGCGCCCCGCACGUCGGAUUUUACCUCGUCCGCCAUUUGACAAUGGAAUUGAUUUCGGAAAUUAGCGGAUAUCCCUCCGUUGAUAAUUGCAUCUUUACAUGUUGCGCCGCGAGUGAUAUAUUUCGGAGAUAUAUUUCGCCAGAUUAUAGAAAUACAUAAUUGGAUGUAAGCAGAUAAAUCUCUUCGUACAAAUGUUUUCAAUAUAAUUAAUUUAGAAAGAA